UACGAAGGGGGGCUAGCGUUGUUCGGAAUUACUGGGCGUAAAGGGCGCGUAGGCGGUUUGUCAAGUCAGGCGUGAAAGCCCCGGGCUCAACCUGGGAACCGCGCUUGAGACUGGCAGGCUCGAGUUCGGGAGAGGAUGGUGGAAUUCCCAGUGUAGAGGUGAAAUUCGUAGAUAUUGGGAAGAACACCGGUGGCGAAGGCGGCGACCUGGUCCAUUACUGACGCUGAGGCGCGACAGCGUGGGGAGCAAACAGG
rnacentral:rRNA from 1 species